GACUCAGUACUUUAAACAAAAGAUUUGAUUUGCAUUCAAAAAAUAGAUUAUUAAAUCUCUAGGUCA
rnacentral:tRNA from 1 species